rnacentral:lncRNA from 1 species
UCAAAUGCAUAAAGGGGAAAACUAUUAUGGUGUCUUUUUUAAAGCCAGUAAACCUUUUCCAGAAACACCCAUGAUCACUAGAAUGAAUCAUGUCAUAUCCUCAUUCCUACACCCAUCACCAGCAAGAACAAAGUAUGUGGCAAGUGGACAUAGAUAGAUUAUCUGAAUAAAAUUCCAGUUAUUUUAGAAAAUAGUAAAGUGUAUGUGUGUGUGUUGAGGCAUAUAAAAGUGGUCAUAGGGUGAGCCAGUGUUAAUAUCCACUUCUAAUGCAGAUGAUAAGACUCCCUGUUAGAGGAAGACCUGGAAGAAGAUUAUUCCAAGCAGAGAGCAGCAAUUGCAGAACCCUGUUGUGCUUCCAUUUCAUCCUCCAUUAUGGCCCCCAGGAAAAAUAGAUGGACAUGGAAAGUGACCAGUGACCACGCCAGGUCAGUCAAAUUGUAGGACCAAUCACAGCCACAAUUCCAGAUGUGGUAUAUUUGCAGGAACAGAUGAGCAUUGCCUCGGAUAUAUUAGACAUUAU